AACUCUCAACAACGGAUAUCUUGGCUCUUGCAACGAUGAAGAACGCAGCGAAAUGCGAUACGUAGUGUGAAUUGCAGAAAACCGUGAACCAUCGAAUCUUUGAAACGCAUAUUGCGCUGGAGGCUUCGGCCAACAGCAUGUUCUGCCUCAGCGUUC
rnacentral:rRNA from 1 species